AUACGUAGGGGGCAAGCGUUAUCCGGAAUUAUUGGGCGUAAAGAGUGCGUAGGUGGUUACCUAAGCAGGGGGUGAAAGGCACUGGCUUAACCAAUGUCAGCCCCCUGAACUGGGCUACUUGAGUGCAGGAGAGGACAGUGGAAUUCCUAGUGUAGCGGUGAAAUGCGUAGAUAUUAGGAGGAACACCAGUGGCGAAGGCGACUGUCUGGACUGUUACUGACACUGAGGCACGAAAGUGUGGGGAGCAAACAGGAUUAGAUACCCUGGUAGUCCACACCGUAAACGAUGAGCACUAGGUGUCGGGGGAGCAAUUUCUCGGUGCCGCAGGUAACGCAUUAAGUGCUCCGCCUGGGGAGUACGUACGCAAGUAUGAAACUCAAAGGAAUUGACGGGG
rnacentral:rRNA from 1 species